CUGGCUGAAUUACACAAUUUACCCCAAAUUCUUUUUAAGACUCUUGAACAAGUACUAAUGCAACAUCAAUUUAUGAAAAAGCAGGAAAGAAAGCUUAAUAACAUAUGGUAAAAAAAAAACAAAACCUCUGUUGAUGGGUACAACUGCUCCACUUAAUUCUUACCCUCUGUUGAAAAUUUGAGGGAUAUUAUUAACAAAGAAACAGGUACAUAGAUCUUAUAAAUCUAAUAAUAAAAGAAUUUUCUGCUGCUACUUUUUGGACUUCGGAGCACAACCAUUUUGACUCAUUAAAAAAAUAAUCAUCAUUAGCAAAAGCCCAAAACCCCCCAUGGCUACAGGAAAAAUCUAGAAAAGGACAAAAGAAGAAGCUUAACUGUAAGAUUAAAAUCUUAGUUUGGAUUAAAUGGUUUGUUUCUCUCACGGGAUAAACACAGAGAUUUAAAAAACAAAAAGAAAAAAAGAACUGGGCUCAUACUUCAUUUCAUAGAAAUUAAGCGCGUAUAAUUUACAACCAUUCGUAAUUAAUUACCAAACAGAUUAAGAACAAGAAGUUACAUACAACAUACAACCUAUUAUAAAUUUUUAUGAAUAUAGAUAGAGAUUCAUUUGCAUCUGUAAUCAAGAAUUGAACUGUAUGUGUUUAUUAAUACACGCGUGAUCAAUAGAACAGAGUAUAAAAAUGGCCAAAAUAUAUAUAUAUACACAUAGGACUGCUAAACUAAUGAAUAAUAUAAUGGAAAAUGGCAUUAAAUGCAGUGUGUGUAUUCGUGGAGAUCCAAUAAUUAAGGAUGCAAUAAUUAUAAAUAAAAAUUCAACGUUACUCUGACUCAUGGCGAUAAUAAUACCGGAAACAGAUGCAUCAGUAAUAAAAAUUUUAAAAAAAGUCCUUUUUUUUUUAACGAAAACUUAUUGCAAUUCUGAGAAAAUAAAGCAAAACGAAGAAAUUCCGACUUUUAGUGUUCAUAUUGUAAUUUUCUGCGUAUAAAUUUAUUUCGUGCGUGUAUCUAAUCUUUCUCUUUGCGUACGGACAAACACAAGAAACAAUUAAAAAUGGGGGGGGGGGGGGGGGAGCCGGAAGGGGAAACGAACAUGCAAAAGCUUUUUUGUUGCAAUUUUUGCAUGAAUAUGUAACAACAUAAGACAAAACGAGAGAGACAAGUCGAUUUGAUGAAAUAAAUAUCUAAAAGGGGUGGAAAAAUAAAGGAGAGAUAAACUGACCUGUUGAUUUUCUUUUGUGUGAUUGUUUGGCUGUUAUUUACUCGAGAAAAUGUAAGAAAGAAAGUGAGGGAAAAAACAAACAGAGACGGAGAGGAGAGGGAGGAAACAAAUUGAAUGGUGAGUUGUGUUGGGAGCGGGGUUGAUGAUAAUACAUAUCUAUGUGCAUGCCUGUGUAUAUAUAUAACGCAACGAACCGAAAUAUUCUGACGGUAUAUUCCCCUGCGUUUUCGCGCCAGACUCCUCUCUAUUUUUCUUCCCUUUUUUCACACUCUAAGCAGUUGGCAUUAGCUUUCCCCUAUUUCCUAUUUCAAGAUUCAGCC
rnacentral:lncRNA from 1 species